rnacentral:lncRNA from 1 species
CCUGUUUUUCCACUCAAAUGUUGCCUUAUGGCCUUCCCCACACCCCAUCCUGUACCCAUAAAAACCCCAGGCUUCACUGGCAGAACUGCAGUGUGGCAGAGCGGCAGAGAGGGAGAGAUGAGGCAGGCAGACAUCAGAGAGAAGCAGCUUGACUUCAAAGGCACAGCUUGAUGGCAGGACUUUGGAGAAGAGUUUGGCCGGGGACAGAGGAACUCCAGGGGAAGACUACCUUCCCACUCGAUCCACUUUCCAGCUCCCCAUCCUGCUGAGAGCCACUUCCACCACUCAAUAAAAUCCUCCACAUUCUCCACUCUUCAAUUUGUUUGUGCAACCUGAUUCUUCCUGGAUACCAGACAAGAACUCAGGUACCAAGAGGGUACAUGCAAAAGGAUAUCACCCUGACCCUCCACUGAGCUAUUAAACACUUAAGCCAUCCGUGAAUGGCAAAGCUAAAAGAGCACAUUGUAACACACCCACUCUGGGGCUCCGCAGGUUACAGGUACCCUACAAGAUACCACCAUGGGGCAGCACAGAGUUAUACUCCUGUUGGCACCCAGGAGCACUCGAUCUGGCCUCUGCACCUGCUCACCUGCAUGCUCCCCCUCCUGUGAAGGCUUGAGAGCUGCAGGCUGAGUAAAUGAGCCAACUUCUUCAUGAGUCCUGUGAAGAGAUCAAGGGAACUAUCUCGUUUCAGUGAGUCUUUGUCUAUUCGGGCUGCCAUAACAAAAUACCAUAGACUGGAUGGCUUAAACAACAUAAAUUUAUUUCUCAACGUAAUGGAGGCUGGAAAUUUCCUAUCAUGAUGCUGGGAAGCAGACCAGUGCAAUGGGACCAACAAGCCAUUAGGAUGGAAAAGGCCAUCUAGUGGUGGUUCAAAGCAAGGCCUCUGGAGUCUGGCUGCCUGGGUUUGAAUUCCAGCUCUGCCAUUUACUUAGCCUCCCUCUGUGGGAAUGAACCCACCUGCAAAAUGGUGGUGGUAGAGGUGUGGGCAGAAUAUCAGGAAAUGCUUCCCUCAGGAAUUGAUGUGCAUGAGGAAUCCUGGAGAAUAAGAAGGCAUGAAGUAGAGAUGAAAGAGAAUGUUUCACACAAAGGAAACAUAUGCAAGCAUCAACUCAACUCUAUGCCUACAGUUCUGGGGCAGAAGAACUGCCAAGGGAGAAAUUAUGCAUUGCCUGCCCCCAGUUCCCUCAGGAUACAUUACAUUAAGGAAGAAAUCAUUCUCAAAAUGUGGAAGCCAAAGCAAACUCCCAUUCUUGACUAGAAUAUUCAGCUUGCCAUUUACCAUUCCAUUCUGAGAGGCAAAAGUUCUUUCUCUCAGUCCCUUUUCCCCAGAAACUGUGAGAAGGUGCAGAGUUGUUGGAUGAAGAAGCCCGUUCAUCAAGGGCUCCUCCCUGUUUCCUGUGCUCUUUCUCAACCCAAACUCAGUGUGCCUCCUUGGCCUUAGCAGUUUCCUUCACUCCUGGACUGAUGGGUGGCACAUGAUUGUGCACUUAAAUACCACAGUACAAACGGGAGGAACACCUGGCUAAUAACUCACAGCCCCAAUUUCUCAUUCAGUACCUUAGCCCAUGUAACCCAGACUAGCUAGAGCAGUGAAGGUCCUCUCUCAUCCUUGAUUACAUGCAUCAUUUAUUACAUCCUAAACAGAGAUGAUUACAUUCCAAUUUCAACUGUCCUUAAAACAUUUCUUUAGGCUCACAGAAACAUCAGCAGCAGCUUUUCCUCAGCUAAUUAGAGACUAAUUGACUCUUUAGCACUGUUAUCAGCUGUGACAGAGCCCUUCCUGCCUCCUGUCUGCCAGCGUACUUGGGACCAUGCCUCUGUGAAGGACUUCAAUUUCUCUUUACAAGAAUCAACGUGGAGCAAACUCCAGUUGCCUACUGCCUAGCAUUCUUGCUAAGAUACGUAUGUAAAUAAAAUGUCUUUAUAUACCUGAGAAUUUAUCUAUGUAGUUCAAGAAUUGUCUUCUUUGCUUAGUUAUCCUACCUUUGAAGGUUUCUGCUUCCAAUUGUUGAGGUGAUGUUACAUCUUUCUGAGGAAGAAGAUGAUACCCUUUUUUGUCCUCCGUAAAAAAGCUUUGUGUGGUGUGGGGUGUGUGUGUGUGUGUCUGUGUGAGCAUUUUGAAUUAUGACCACUGCAUUUCAUGACUUCACUUACCUUGAAUUAUUCUUUUCUCUCAGAGGAUGGACUAAUUUAUUUUCUCCAUAGAGGAUCAGUGUGUUAAUUUCCUUCCUUUCCUCCAAAGCAUAUUCUGAAUGCUUUCACUGCUAGGCAUAGGACAAACAGUUAAAAUGAUAUAUUUUCUGCUCCUCCAGGUCAAAUAGAGGGAUGCAAAAGUUUUAAAAUUAAGUGUAAUAAAGUGCUAUCGAUGUUGUCAUAGGCAUCUGUACAGAGUAUAGUUGGGACAUAAUAAAAAGAUAGCGAUUUCCUGUGGAGGCAGGAUCAUAAAUAUUAAAGGACAACAUAGGAAAGUGUUGACAGGAAGAGAGAGGGAAGUUAGCUUUCCUGGAAGGGAGACUAGGGAGAGCAAAGUCCAGAUGGAGGGAACAACUUGAGAUGUUGUGGGAGUCACAGAAAGUCUGGAUAACUUGAAACCUGGGGUUAGAUGGAGUGCAGCAAAAUAUUAUGUUGAUGAAAUAGCCAGGGGAAGCCUCAUGGAGGAUUUGAAUGCCAUGCGAAAAUGUUGAGGGUUUCCUGUAAGAACAUCGGAUGGCCACAGAAGAGUUAUGAGCAGGGUUAGGAUACUGAUGCCAGGAAACUAAAAGGGCAGCUCAGAGGCCCUGAGCUUAGACAGUAGCAGUGGGACUGGAAGAAGAGGGAGUCAAAAGAAAUGAAAAAGGUAGAAUGAAUAUAACAAUGUUUAAGUGAAUUAAAAGGAGAGAGCUUCCUAGGAUGAUUUUUGGUUUUCAGCUGAGGGUUUCCUUCACCAAAAAGAAGUACUAAAAAAAAGGGAAGUUUUGACAGGGAAGUUCCAUUUUAGAUAAUUUCAUUUUGAGGGCUAGUAAAAUGUAUUUGGGGAGCGGCAAUAUUCACCAGGCAUCUGGAUAAGCAGGACUCGAACUCAGGAGAGAGAUCCUAGAAAUUAAUAUCUGGGCCUCAUCAGUAUAUUGGCAGUAUGGGAAGCCAUGGCCAUGCCCCUUGGAAAGAGAAUAGGUUGAAGAAAGCCCAAGGUCAGAGCUCUGAAUGAAGAAGACUAAUAUUUAAAGGAAAAAUAGAGAAGAAUCUGCAAAGAAGGCUGGGAGACAAUAGACAGUGAAUGGAAAGGAAAAACCAUAGGAAUAGUGGUUCUUUGGCUUCCAGAAAGCAACUCAGGUAUCAGGUGUUCCCUCUACCUCCUUGGAUCUUAUGACAUUUCUGUCUUUCCGUCUGUAUUGCCUUAAUCUCUCCUCUCUCAUGAUCUCUUCAUAUAUAGUUGUUAAUUCCCCAUAACAUUGGCUUCACAUGGUCAAACACUGUCUCUGGAGUUUCUUUAUAUACUGUGACCUUUCAGCUUCUAUCCCCAUGUUGUUUCUUCCCUCUCCCUUCUGCCAUUUCCCCUCUCCCCUCUCCUCUCCUCUCUUCUCUUCUUUUGAUGGAAUCUCGCUCAUGGUGCUCCACACCUGUAA